AGAGGAGAGAGGAAAGAGAGAGAGGGAGAGAGGAAAGAGAGAGAGAGAGAGAGAGAGAGAGAGAGAGAGAGAGAGAGAGAGAGAGAAACAGAAGUAGGAGACGACAGGAUGACAGAUUAUCCCUUGGGGCACCCAUAAACUGAGAGGGCUAAAAAAAUUAAAAUAAAAAAAUUAAAAUAAAUAAUAAAUAAAAAUGCCUCACCCUAUAUCCCUGAUGGGGAAGGAAAUGGAUUAGGGCUUUGGAGGAGGAGAAUGUGGGACGAUUAUUGGCCAUGAAAGAUUUGAAGGCACCAUUGGUAAAAGUAGUGGGAACCACUAAGUGUCAGAUAAAGAUGAUGUAAAUUGUUACAACCGGGCCGACAAAAGACUACAAACAUGGCCGCCGCUCACAAACUUACCGGCUACAGCGCCAUCUUCAGGUUGGAUGCCGUCAUGACCGAGGGUAUGCAGGCCCCUCAGCAAAUGUUACCCACUUAAGGUGAACCCCAAGGAACAAAGGGGAAUGAAAAGGUGGAGAGUUGAAAAUGAACAAGAAAAAGAAGGCAUGUGGACAUUAUAUUAUGAACUAUUGUGGUGGAAGUCAUUCUUCUUAAAGUCAAGCAGAAUUGAAGAAGGUGGUGGGAUUGUCAUUUAUUUCCAACCCCCGAUUCAGCAAACAGUUGGUCUCUGCGGUCAAUGUCAAUGAACAAGGCCCCUGGUUGAAAAGACUGAAAUAAGUGAUGAACUGACACAAGUAAAGUAAAAGCUGUCGGAGAUGGACCAGGAAGAAGGACCCUUUAAACCUGAAGACAAGGUGUAUGUAUGAGUUUUCUAAAUCACCGACCGAUGUUCGUUUAGAAGGUUGAGAUACCUAGUACGAUUUCAAUAAUUACAUGAGGGCUGGCCCACAGGUACGAAUAGACAAUAGCCCUGAGGUAAUUGAACAGGAGGACAAAGAAGAGUAGAGUUUUAACAAGAACUUGUUUGACAUCAGUGGUGGGAAAUAAUGGAAAGGAUACUAAAGACAAUAUUAUAGGAAUUUGGAUAAGUGGGAUAGGAUUAGGAAGAAUUAGCAUGGAUUUGUGAUUGUGACAUUUGACUAAUCUUGAUUUUUCUUAAAAGAGGUUAUUAGGAAAAUUGAUGAGGUUAAAGUGGUGAACUUCAGUAAGGCCUUUGACAAAGUUCAAUAAAGGAAAUAAGGUUGGUUAAGAAGUGGUUAGUAAGGAAUAGCAAGAUGGAUUAAAAGUGACUGUUGGGAAAUGUUGGGAAAUGUCGGGAAAUGUCAGAGAGUAAUGGUGGAUGGAUGUUUGGCAGGUUAGAGGUCAAUGACUAGAGGGGUACCUCAGAGAUGUGUGUUGGGACCACUGUUGUUUGUCAUGUGAAUCAAUAAUAUGGAUGUUGGUGUGGUAAGAUAGAUUAAGAAGUAUGUAGAUGAUACUAAGAUACGUGGUGUUGUGAAUAAUUAAGUAGAUUUAAAAAAUGUACAGAGAGAUUUAGGUUAUUUGGAAGAGUGGGUUGAAACAUGACAGAUGGAUUUAAUGUUGAUAAGUGUGAGGUGAUACAACUUGGCAGGCCAAAUUCAAAUUAGACUUACAUGGUAAAUGAUUGUGAAUUGAGGAAUGAAGUUGAACAGAGGGAUCUAGGAACAACUGUGUAUAAUUCCCUGAAGGUGGAAUCUCGUGUAGAAAGGAUGGUAAAGAAAGAUUUUGGUGUGUUGUCCUUUAUAAAUCAGAGCAUUGUGUAUAGAAGUUGGGUUGUAAUGUUAAAUUGUACAAGGUAUUGGUGAGGUCAAUUGUGGAGUAUGGUGCAUAAUUUUGGUAGGCAUAAUUAUAGGAAAAAGGUUAAAAUAGAGAGUACAGAGGAGAUCAAUUAGAAUGUUGACUGGGUUUCAGCAACUGAGAUACAGAGAAAGGUUGAACAAGUUAGGUUUUUAUUAUUUGGGAAAGAGAAGGAAUACCCACCAUGGUAAUGAUGUUUUCUUAAGGAACUGUUUACUGGCAGUAUCUCAUUCUAUUACAGAAUUAAAAACCAAGGAGCUGUUGGCACAGAGUCCCCAUCUCGACUUGCCAAUCCAUUCUGUGAAAGCAGAGAACUGGGAUCUUGUAAAAUCAUGGAAGGAAGAAAAGCUGCAACCAAAGUGGACUGGACCCUACCUUGUGUUAUUAAUCACCGAGACAGCAGUACGAACAAAAGAAAAAGGGUGGACACACGCAAACCGAUUUAAGGGUCCUGUGGAGGCCCCACCAGACAAUAUCAGCCCGUAGACUGUGCGUGAAGGGAAGGAACCAUUGACUUUGUGCCUAUUCGGAUGUUGUAUUAUUCCCUGCGCUGGCCUUCAGAACACAGUAUGACUAGCGAGAGGAGGAUAGGGAGGCGAAGAAUCUGCUGCUAGCACUAGAAAAGGAAGAUAUAGUAUAAUUCAAAAGAUGCGUAGCAAAAAGAAAAAUGGUGGAUUGUGAGAGAAGGGUUAAUAGGGAUGGUUGAAUUAUACUAGAAGUCUGAAAAAUAUAACUUAGAAAUAAAUGAGCUUAUCCGCAGAAGCCAGACUGCUGGUAGAAUAAAGUAACAAUAUACAGAACAGAGAGAAAUUCUAGAUAAAAAGUAGCAAACAGAUAACAACUUCAGCAGAAGGCCUUGGGAGUCUUGACGUCAGGAAAUGGUCCGAGACAUUCCUGGACUUUCUCGUGUGAAUGUGGGCUUUAUGUUAUGAUUGGACGAAACUCGAUGGGGAGACCUGAGGUAGUGACCACAGUGAAGAAGGGUAUAAAGAUAGAAAGCAUCUCCAUUUUCUUUGUGCCUCCAGGGGACAUCAGAGGAGAGACACCUAUUCUGCAGAAUAUGAAAUUAAUAAAAACACUUCUUUGUCUGAA